rnacentral:tRNA from 1 species
GCCGAAGUGGUGGAAUUGGCAGACACGCUAUCUUGAGGGGGUAGUGGGAGCACCCGUGCCGGUUCAAAUCCGGCCUUCGGCA